rnacentral:tRNA from 1 species
GGAGAGGUGGCUGAGUGGUCGAAAGCAACAGACUUGAAAUCUGUCGUAUGGGAAACCAUACCGAGGGUUCGAAUCCCUCCCUCUCCGCCA